rnacentral:rRNA from 1 species
UACGGGGGAUGCGAGCGUUAUCCGGAUUUAUUGGGUUUAAAGGGCGCGUAGGCGGGACGUCAAGUCAGCGGUAAAAGACUGCAGCUAAACUGUAGCACGCCGUUGAAACUGUUGACCUCGAGACGAGACGAGGGAGGCGGAACAAGUGAAGUAGCGGUGAAAUGCAUAGAUAUCACUUGGAACCCCGAUAGCGAAGGCAGCUUCCCAGGCUCGUUCUGACGCUGAUGCGCGAGAGCGUGGGUAGCGAACAGG